rnacentral:lncRNA from 1 species
CCAGCAGAGUUUUCCUCAAGACUUGAUUUGUCAUCUCUUUCAAAAACGCUUUGGGCCAACCAGCAUAAAGAUCAGCCUUUUAGGAAAUAGGAUUAGUCACCAGGAAUGUUCAAAUUUGCUCAGACUUGUCAAGAUGGCUUCAGCUGGCUUCAGUUCAGAAAUUAUAAGAAAUUGGAGCAAGUUGUGAAGAUCUGUGUUUGUGGGUAGUGAGCAUCCUGGCAGAGGAAAAACGAAUAGCUCUAAAGAGGGGGAAAAAAAAGAAAGAUUUAAAGAAGGAACAGGUACUGUCCUAACCACGGAAGUCCUUGACAGUGAGUAGAAUAUUCUGAAGUGAGGUCAAAGGUUUGUUUAGAUUGAAAGGCAAAAGUCUCACACUUUUAGCAUGAAAAAAUAGGCCUACAACGGUAAAAACUCCAAACAAAAAGAGAGAAGGAAGGAAGGAGAGAGACAGGGAGAGAGGGAGAAGCCAAUCACUGAGAGAAUAUGUCAAUAUACUCAUUAUCUUCAUAAGGAGCAUAAUUAAUACAACAGGACAGGAAAGGAUUUAGAUUCAUUUUACAAGUGAGGAAAUUGAGGCUCAGAAGAGCUUUCUGCUUUCAGGUUUUAAGCAUCAACAACUCAAAAAUAUGUACUUUGUCAUAGUCUUAAAUAUUGGGUCUGAAGCCCAAUGAACCCACAGGAAUUUAGACUCUUUAGGGGCAAAAGCCAGGAUGAAUUAGCAGAGAGUCUGAAUUACGGAUUUUUCUUCAAUUAUUUUCAAGACCAUUCCAGUUAGCUGGAAUGCCCAGAGCACUUGGCACAAUGGUGAGGAGGUGAUUUCAAGCUGAAGGGUGGGGAAGCCAAGGCCUCUAAAAGCCACACUCAAAAGCUGCUAAGCUGACAACUUUAACAGCAGGGAAAAAAGUGUAAGAGGUCAUUUUAGCAGACUUUACUCCUCAUUAAAUAAAAAAGGCAGUUUUCCACAACUCACUACCACCAGGUCAAAUAACUCACCUCCCACAUCAGCAAGACAAAAUAGGAUAUAGUUGAGGUCCUUAGGGUGCUAUUUUAACAAACUGAUCAUUUAAUUUAAUUAACCCAUAUUGGGUGACACUAUCGUAAGUAGUAUAUAUAAGUGCUUGAAAGAAGUAGUUCCAAAAUAUUGCAAAUAAUCCACCUGCAACUGUUAUUAGACCAAGGGAUUUCUAAGUAAAGUGACAUUUUAGUUAUGCCCUGCUGAGGUUAGAAACAAGUCCAAGUUGAACGUGAUGAACUGUUGAGGUUUACUAUUAUUAAUUCCACUUGUAGGUUAUUUUCCAUCCAAAUGUAUUCUCU